rnacentral:rRNA from 1 species
AUUGAGUGGGGGGUAACGUAGCGAAAGUUACGCUAAUACCGCAUAUUCUGUGAGCAGGAAAGCAGGGGAUCGCAAGACCUUGCGCUCUUUGAGCGGCCGAUGUCAGAUUAGCUAGUUGGUGAGGUAACGGCUUACCAAGGCGACGAUCUGUAGCGGGUCUGAGAGGAUGAUCCGCCACACUGGAACUGAGACACGGUCCAGACUCCUACGGGAGGCAGCAGUGGGGAAUUUUGGACAAUGGGGGCAACCCUGAUCCAGCCAUGCCGCGUGAGUGAAGAAGGCCUUCGGGUUGUAAAGCUCUUUCGGCCGGGAAGAAAUCGCAUGGGUUAAUACCCUGUGUGGAUGACGGUACCGGCAUAAGAAGCACCGGCUAACUACGUG